rnacentral:rRNA from 1 species
CCUACGGUGUGCAGCAGUGAGGAAUAUUGGUCAAUGGACGAGAGUCUGAACCAGCCAAGUAGCGUGAAGGAUGACUGCCCUAUGGGUUGUAAACUUCUUUUAUAAAGGAAUAAAACGAGGCACGUGUGCCUUUUUGCAUGUACUUUAUGAAUAAGGAUCGGCUAACUCCGUGCCAGCAGCCGCGGUAAUACGGAGGAUCCGCGCGUUAUCCGGAUUGAUUGGGUUUAAAGGGAGCGUAGAUGGGUUGUUAAGUCAGUUGUGAAAGUUUGCGGCUCAACCGUAAAAUUGCAAUUGAUACUGGCAGUCUUGAGUACAGUUGAGGUAGGCGGAAUUCGUGGUGUAGCGGUGAAAUGCUUAGAUAUCAUGAAGAACCCCGAUUGCGAAGGCAGCUUACUAAACUGUGACUGACAUUGAUGCUCGAAAGUGUGGGUAUCAAACAGGAUUAGAUACCCCUGUAGUC